AGAGUUUGAUCAUGGCUCAGAAUGAACGUUGGCGGCGUGGAUUAGGCAUGCAAGUCGAGCGAGAUCAGUUCCCUCACCUUGUGCUCUUCACUGAGAGCGUGGGGUGAGGGGACUGUGACAGCGGCGAAAGGGAGAGUAACGCGUAGUUACGUGCCCCGAGGUCCGGAAUAGCCAGCCGAAAGGCUGGGUAAUGCUGGAUAAUGUCCCCGGACCAAAGGUGUGAUUCCGCCUCGGGAGCGGACUGCGUUGUACUAGCUAGUUGGUAGGGUAAUGGCCUACCAAGGCGAUGAUGCAUACCGGGCGUGAGAGCGUGGCCCGGCUCACUGGGACUGAGACACUGCCCAGACACCUACGGGUGGCUGCAGUCGAGAAUCUUCGGCAAUGAGCGCAAGCUUGACCGAGCGACGCCGCGUGCGGGAUGAAGGCCUUCGGGUUGUAAACCGCUUUCAGUGGGGAGGAAAUCGCUAGGGGUUCUCCCCUAGUGUUGACCUAUCUUCAGAAGAAGGACGGGCUAAGUUCGUGCCAGCAGCCGCGGUAAUACGAACCGUCCAAACGUUAUUCGGAUUCAUUGGGCUUAAAGGGUACGUAGGCGGCGCUAUCAGUCGGGUGUGAAAGCCCUCGGCUCAACCGAGGAACUGCGCCCGAUACUGUAGUGCUUGAGGGAGACAGAGGUAAGCGGAACUGAUGGUGGAGCGGUGAAAUGCGUUGAUAUCAUCAGGAACACCGGUGGCGAAAGCGGCUUACUGGGUCUCUUCUGACGCUGAGGUACGAAAGCUAGGGGAGCGAACGGGAUUAGAUACCCCAGUAGUCC
rnacentral:rRNA from 1 species